ACCCAGGAGCUCUGAUGACUCACCCGGCGUAUCUUUGGUAACAGAAGAGGCAGCCUUUUUGCUGCAGACACAGUACAUGCGGCUUCCACUCAUGCCUUGGACAUCAACUCUUGUCCUUUUACUGACUUUGUUUUUCCUUAACACCUCCUUUCUUCCAGAACAAAGGCAAUCUUGCCUUCCAGAGGCAUAAUGUCUGGAGAUGUUAGUGUUUUUCAUGACUGCAGAAGGAGGAUGCUACUGGCAUCUAGAGGAUGGAGCUAGGGAUGCUACCAAAUACUCUGCAGUGCACAGAACAGCCCCUCACAACAAGAAAUAUCUGGGCCAAAAUGCCAAUAGUGCUGAGGCAGAAAGACCUGAGUCUCAGAAAGCUGGCCUACAGGACAAUCUGAGGAACAGUAGCUCUUCCAUUCUCAAAAAUCACCUCUGGUAUUUUUAAGCUAAACAUGCUCCUCCUCUUUGCCUCUCCUUAGGAUGAUAGGAUUCUUUCAACAUUAAAAGCAGACUUGCCUCCUCUUUAGAGAAUGUAAUGAUCAUCUGAGACACUGAACAAGAAACAGUCUCUCUGUCAUAGCUAUUGUUUUCUGUUACCACACUCUUUCCGGCCCAAUCCUCCUUCUGGUAACAGAUCCGGCUGCCUUGACCUCGAGGGGUGGGCCUAUAACUCAGGUGAGCCAAACAAUAGGCCUUCCCCAGGUUUUUCUUUUUCACUCAAGCUGAGGAAAGAGAAUCUCUUUUCUGGCCUCAUGACUAUAUAGUAAGAGGCUCUGGGGGGAAACAUCUUGAGAUAAUGAGGCUCUCCUACAGAGAGAAGCAGAAAGGAAGAAAGCAAGGAGAGAGGAGGAAGUGAGAGAAAAUACUGAAACUGCCACCAGGUGGAAGAAGUUAAUCAUAUGCUCCGCAUAAGCAUGUUGGAGUAGGAAAUGGCAACCUAAUCCAGUAUUCUUGCCCUGAAAACUCUGUGAGCAGAGGAGCCUGAAAGGCCACAGUCCAUGGGGUGGCAAAUGGUUGUGAUCUUGGAUGGCCUCAGCUUGCAGCGGCUUGGAUCGGGGCUUGGGUUCCCAGCCAGAGACUGGGCUGGGUUGCGUGGUGAAAGCACAAGAUCCUACCCACUAGACUGGGCCCUUCUGAAUUUUCAGAAAAGAAUUCCAACAAAGACAGUCUUAGUUGUGGCAUGAGAACUCUUAGUGGCAGCAUGUGGGAUCUAGUUUCCGGAGCAGGGAUUGAACCCGGGACCCCUGCAUUGGGAGCAUGGAGUCUUAACCACUGAACCACCAGGUCUCACAAACGCACAACACUACAUCACAAUGGAACCGGUGAAGUUUGGGAAUCUGGUAAAUGACCUCAGCUGGACUCACAAAUUCCUUGGCCCCUGGUACUGGAAUCCAGGGCCUGGAGAAGUUCCAUCUGAACCUGGACAUCUCUGCCAGGAUGAGCCAUUCCUCCACAAAUCUGCCAUGCUGCUCACUUGUAAUUGGGGUUUGGUCAAUGAAACCUCUGGGGACUUUCCAGAGCAUCCUGAGUCACUUGUCCAUGUGGGUUUAGUGGGUUUGGAGAACACAGAAUGCCUUUGAAUUAUGUUCAAAGAAAGGCAUGCAUGCACACUCUCUCGUGUCUGACUCUUUGUGACCCCAUGGACUAUAGCCCUCCAGGCACCUCUAUCCAUGGGAUUUCCCAGGCAACAAUACUGGAGUGGGUUGCCAUUUCCUCCUCCAAAAGAAAGAAGUGCAGGAAAGUAAAAAUCUAGAUAGAGAGAGAAAGAUUGAGGAUGAAGGAAGGAAGCAAGGAGGGACUCUUUCUGCAGCCAAUACCAGGGAAAGCCUGGUGUCAAGCUAAUGACGCCCACCCAAUUUUCCACCUUAAUGGGCCCAGCAGCACUGCAUGCAGAGCACGCUAAUCAGAGAACAGAAACUGAAACAUCUAUUUUUUUAAAAUUAAAUUCUGGAAGAACUUGAGUCACUUUACUUUCAGAUAUUUAUUUUAUUCAUUUUACUCACCUAUAGACCAGGGCUUCAGAAUAUCUGCUCCUUUUCAAACUUCUUUCUGUUCCUCUGGAAAAUGGAAAGCAACGCAAAUACUCAAUAUCAUAUUCUGAGCUAGACACUGUAUCAGACAC
ensembl:lncRNA